CUACGGGUUGCUGCAGUGAGGAAUAUUGCACAAUGGGGGGAACCCUGAUGCAGCAACGCCGCGUGGAGGAUGACGCAUUUCGGUGUGUAAACUCCUUUUAUAUGUCAAGAAAAUGACGGUGGCAUAUGAAUAAGCACCGGCUAACUCCGUGCCAGCAGCCGCGGUAAUACGGAGGGUGUAAGCGUUACUCGGAAUCACUGGGCGUAAAGGACGCGUAGGCGGGUUGGAAAGUCAGGUGUGAAAUCCUACAGCUUAACUGUAGAACUGCACUUGAAACUUCUAAUCUAGAGUAUGGGAGGGGGAGAUGGAAUUAGUGGUGUAGGGGUAAAAUCCGUAGAUAUCACUAGGAAUACCUAAAGCGAAGGCGAUCUCCUGGAACAUUACUGACGCUAAGGCGUGAAAGCGUGGGGAGCAAACAGGAUUAGAUACCCCUGUAGUC
rnacentral:rRNA from 1 species